UUAGAGGAAGUAAAAGUCGUAACAAGGUUUCCGUAGGUGAACCUGCGGAAGGAUCAUUAUCGUGCAACAGAGGCGCGAGGGCUGUCGCUGACUUGAAAAGGUCGUGCACGCCUGAGCGCUCUCACGCAUCCAUCUCACCCCUUUGUGAACCACCGCGUGGGUCGUCCUUCGGGCGGCUUGCGUUUUUACAAAAACCCCAGUAUUAGAAUGUUUUACCGUUUGCGGUGACACGCAAUCAAUACAACUUUCAACAACGGAUCUCUUGGCUCUCGCAUCGAUGAAGAACGCAGCGAAAUGCGAUACGUAAUGUGAAUUGCAGAAUUCAGUGAAUCAUCGAAUCUUUGAACGCACCUUGCGCCCCUUGGUAUUCCGAGGGGCACACCCGUUUGAGCGUCGUGACUUCCUCAACCUUCUCGGUCUUUGCGAUCGGGAAAGGCUUGGACUUUGGGGGUUUUUGCUGGCCUCUCUCGAAGCCAGCUCCCCUUAAAUGGAUUAGUGGGGUUCGCUUUGCCGAUCCUCGACGUUGAUAAGAUGUUUCUACGUCUUGGGCUAGGCACCUGCUUCUAACCGUCUCGAGAGAGACAACGCGUUUUGGACCUUGACCUCAAAUCGGGUGAGACUACCCGCUGAACUUAAGCAUAUCAAUAAGCGGAGGAAAAGAAACUAACGAGGAUUCCCYYAGUAACUGCGAGUGAAGCGGGAAAAGCUCAAAUUUAAAAUCUGGUGGUCUUUGGCCAUCCGAGUUGUAAUUUAGAGAAGCGUCUUCCGCGCUGGACCGUGCACAAGUCUCCUGGAAUGGAGCGUCAUAGAGGGUGAGAAUCCCGUCUUUGGCACGGACCCCAGGGCUUCUGUGAUGCGCUCUCGAAGAGUCGAGUUGUUUGGGAAUGCAGCUCAAAAUGGGUGGUGAACUCCAUCUAAAGCUAAAUAUUGGCGAGAGACCGAUAGCGAACAAGUACCGUGAGGGAAAGAUGAAAAGCACUUUGGAAAGAGAGUGAAACAGUACGUGAAAUUGUUGAAAGGGAAACGCUUGAAGUCAGUCGCGUCGACCGAGACUCAACCUCGCCUCGGCUUGGUGUACUUCUCGGCCGACGGGUCAGCAUCAAUCUCGAUCCUCGGAUAAUGGCGAGGGAAAGGUGGCACCCUUGCGGGUGUGUUAUAGUCCCCUGUCGCAUGCGAGGGUCAGGAUUGAGGAACUCAGCGCGCGCCUCUCGGUGUCGGAGCGUUUCACGCUCACGUCACGCGCUUAGGAUGCUGGCGAUAAUGGCUUUAAACGACCCGUCUUGAAACACGGACCAAGGAGUCCAACAUGCCCGCGAGUGUUCGGGUGGAAAACCCGUGCGCGUAAUGAAAGUAAAAGUUGGGACCUCCGUCGUGGAGGGCACCGACGCCCGGACCAGACCUUCUGUGACGGAUCUGCGGUAGAGCGUGCAUGUUGGGACCCGAAAGAUGGUGAACUAUGCCUGAAUAGGGUGAAGCCAGAGGAAACUCUGGUGGAGGCUCGUAGCGAUUCUGACGUGCAAAUCGAUCGUCAAAUUUGGGUAUAGGGGCGAAAGACUAAUCGAACCAU
rnacentral:rRNA from 1 species